rnacentral:rRNA from 1 species
GAUGAACGCUGGCGGCGUGCCUAAUACAUGCAAGUCGAGCGAACAGACGAGGAGCUUGCUCCUCUGACGUUAGCGGCGGACGGGUGAGUAACACGUGGAUAACCUACCUAUAAGACUGGGAUAACUUCGGGAAACCGGAGCUAAUACCGGAUAAUAUAUUGAACCGCAUGGUUCAAUAGUGAAAGACGGUUUUGCUGUCACUUAUAGAUGGAUCCGCGCCGCAUUAGCUAGUUGGUAAGGUAACGGCUUACCAAGGCAACGAUGCGUAGCCGACCUGAGAGGGUGAUCGGCCAACGUGGAAUUGAGACCGGGGCCAGACCCCUAGGGGGGGCAGCAGUGGGGAAUUUUCCGCAAGGGGCGAAACCCUGACGGAGCAACGCCGGGGGAGGGAUGAAGGUCUUCGGAUCGUAAAACUCUGUUAUUAGGGAAGAAAAAAUGUGUAAGUAACUAUGCACGUUUUGACGGUACCUAAUCAAAAAGCACCGGCUAACUACGU